UGGGGAAUUUUGGACAAUGGGCGCAAGCCUGAUCCAGCCAUGCCGCGUGCGGGAAGAAGGCCUUCGGGUUGUAAACCGCUUUUGUCAGGGAAGAAAUCCUCUGAGUUAAUACCUCGGGGGGAUGACGGUACCUGAAGAAUAAGCACCGGCUAACUACGUGCCAGCAGCCGCGGUAAUACGUAGGGUGCAAGCGUUAAUCGGAAUUACUGGGCGUAAAGCGUGCGCAGGCGGUUGUGCAAGACAGGUGUGAAAUCCCCGGGCUUAACCUGGGAACUGCACUUGUGACUGCACAGCUGGAGUGCGGCAGAGGGGGAUGGAAUUCCGCGUGUAGCAGUGAAAUGCGUAGAUAUGCGGAGGAACACCGAUGGCGAAGGCAAUCCCCUGGGCCUGCACUGACGCUCAUGCACGAAAGCGUGGGGAGCAAACAGGAUUAGAUACCCUGGUAGUCCACGCCCUAAACGAUGUCAACUGGUUGUUGGACGGCUUGCUGUUCAGUAACGUAGCUAACGCGUGAAGUUGACCGCCUGGGGAGUACGGCCGCAAGGUUG
rnacentral:rRNA from 1 species